rnacentral:rRNA from 1 species
AGAGUUUGAUCCUGGCUCAGAUUGAACGCUGGCGGCAUGCCUUACACAUGCAAGUCGAACGGCAGCACGGGAGCUUGCUCCUGGUGGCGAGUGGCGAACGGGUGAGUAAUACAUCGGAACGUACCCUGAAGUGGGGAUAACGUAGCGAAAGUUACGCUAAUACCGCAUAUUCUGUGAGCAGGAAAGAGGGGGAUCGCAAGACCUCUUGCUUUAGGAGCGGCCGAUGUCGGAUUAGCUAGUUGGUGAGGUAAAGGCUCACCAAGGCGACGAUCCGUAGCGGGUCUGAGAGGAUGAUCCGCCACACUGGGACUGAGACACGGCCCAGACUCCUACGGGAGGCAGCAGUGGGGAAUUUUGGACAAUGGGCGCAAGCCUGAUCCAGCCAUGCCGCGUGAGUGAAGAAGGCCUUCGGGUUGUAAAGCUCUUUCGGUGGGGAAGAAAUUGCUUCGGUUAAUACCUGGAGUAGAUGACGGUACCCGCAUAAGAAGCACCGGCUAACUACGUG